GGAGAAUUAUGCAAGGUGCCUGCACAAAAGACUUGCAUCUUGAGGAAAAUGAAGUUGUUACUUGAUGCUGCUAACUUGAUAUACCUAAAAUGGAUAAUCAUUAACAGACUUACCUCUCUACAUGUUCCACAAACAGUAGUGAGUCUGACUGGCCCUUCAGCAAUGUACUCGAGAGCUGGAGACACUUGCCAGCAUGUAUUUUCCAAAUAUUCAAAG